AAGUCGUAACAAGGUCUCCGUAGGUGAACCUGCGGAGGGAUCAUUAACACGUUUCCGAACGUUUAACUAUUUCACAUCAACCGCGUGAUACAAUUGAAUCAACAACAACAACAACCCCGACCUGAGAGUCAGAGAAUUCUGUUUAGAAUGCACGGAGUGAUGAGUGUGUAUGCGAGCAAUUGCAUGCACACGGUGUAUCUAAACAAGUAUGGCGUGUUUCACUGUGUGCGCAAGUAUGCAGUGUUAUUGGACUUUACAAGACCUCUUUCUUUUAGGCUUUUAACCAUUAGUUCCCUUCAUCGCUGGAGCGCAACCACCCCUUUCACCACUUAUAACCAACUAGACUGAUAUGUUCUCAGCAUGGCGAAAGCUGUGUAUGAAACAACAAAUAAUCAAAUAUCUAAGCACAACUCUUAGCAACGGAUAUCUUGGUUCUC
rnacentral:misc_RNA from 1 species